rnacentral:tRNA from 1 species
GUGGGCGUGCUAGAGUGGUUCUCGGGUAUGACUAGAAAUUAUAUCGGCUUUGCUCGCGCAGGUUCUAAUCCUAUCGCUCACA